CCCAUUCUUUAAUAAUCAUGUAAGGAGAUGUUGUUAUACCCAUUUUACAGGUGAGGAAAGAGACUCAGGAAGGUUAAGCAAUUUUCCCCAAAGUCGCCUCCCUAAUAAAUGAUGGACAGCGUUUGAACUCCAGCUUGUGUGACGCCAAGCUCAUUGCACAAUUCCACUUCCCGUUUCUGGAUCUCCACCUCAUUUGGCUGCAUUAUUUUCCCCAGUCAGGUGCUCACAGUCCGUGCACUAAUGGACACUUGGUGCUUGUCAAAACCUUGCUGAAUGAGUGCAUGAAUUGCACACCUCAGUGCAUGCCCUGAUGACAGGAAUAGCUGCUGGAAAGGUAGAUUGGUAAACUGGCCUUCUGGUUGUUUACACAUUGGCUGUGACUCUGUUGAAUGUGAAUGAGUGUCCCCUCCCUCCCACCCCCCACCAAGAUCAACUCUGCAUGGACUGAGAGCCUUGUGUUUCUGAGCUGUGAGCUCUCAAAUGGACUCAGAUAUUGUACACUGUGAGGGGCAGUGGUCCUCCUCUGUGACACCCACCUCUCAACUUUUUUUUUUUCUUUUUUUUUUGAGAUGGAGUCUCGCUCCGUUGCCAGGCUGGAAUGCAAUGGCACGAUCUCAGCUCUUGCAACCUCUGCCUCCUGGGUUCAAGUGAUUCGCCUGCCUCAGCCUCCUCAGUAGCUGGGAUUACAGGCACCUGCUACCAUGCCCGGCUAGUUUUGUAUUUUUAGUAAGAGACGGGGUUUCUCCAUGUUGGUCAUGCUGGUCUCGAACUCCCAGCCUCAGGUGAUCCGCCCAUCUCGGCCUCCCAAAGUGCUGGGAUUACAGGUGUGAGCCACCGUGCCCAACCUCUCAACUUUUAAAGCUGCACACUGUUAACUGAAGUUCUUGUCCCCCCUACUUCAGGACAAGCUACAGGGUAUAUGCAUAAUUUUUCUUCUAGCACCAGCCAGUCACAGGGGUGUUCAUAGAGCAGACAUUUGAAGCUGCUGGAAGGGAACUGAAGGUUAUCUGGUGAGUACAGAGGCAUCGGCUGACGUGAGGGCUGGUGUCCUAAACCAUGGUAAUCUAGUGCAUCCCUAUCAAUACAUAAUUCUGUGCUAGGCAGUGAGGGUGCAGGCCCGCCUACAUCACAGACCCUGCCCAGGAGGUCACAUGUAAACAAGUAGAGGCAAAUAUCUGCUUGCUGGACACCCCACUGAAGCUUGCCCUUCGUGAAAUCUCUGAUGCUCUGAACAGCAUGUCUCCCUGCCUUCGUGACCUGCCCAUCCCAUGGCUAGGCUGCACCUACGCCACACCACUGGCAUUCAUGUCACUUGAUUGCAGUUGCCUGUUUCCUUCUCUGACUUCCUUACUGGGCCAAGCAACUGGAGGGCAGGGGACUCAUGCUUGAGAAGAAAGGAUUCUGGACUUUGGCUGAGGAACAGGCCUUUAGUUCCAAAAGGGACAGAGGCAGGAAGCAGAGGUGUUUGAGGAAAGAUAGGGGUCCAGGUGAGGGAUCACUGGAGACUGACACAAAGUCUUCCUCCUCCGAAGUGUGGAGCUGUGAUCCCACCCAGCAGCCAUCCUGCAUUGUCCCUCUCCCCCUCCAGGUGUGCAUGGGCU
rnacentral:lncRNA from 10 species